GACGAACGCUGGCGGCGUGCUUAACACAUGCAAGUCGAACGGAAAGGCCCUGCUUUUGUGGGGUGCUCGAGUGGCGAACGGGUGAGUAACACGUGAGUAACCUGCCCUUGACUUUGGGAUAACUUCAGGAAACUGGGGCUAAUACCGGAUAGGAGCUCCUGCUGCAUGGUGGGGGUUGGAAAGUUUCGGCGGUUGGGGAUGGACUCGGGGCUUAUCAGCUUGUUGGUGGGGUAGUGGCUUACCAAGGCUUUGCCGGGUAGCCGGGCUGCGGGGGUGACCGGCCACAUUGGGACUGAGAUACGGCCCAGCCUCCUACGGGAGGCAGCAGUGGGGAAUAUUGCACAAUGGGCGGAAGCCUGAUGCAGCAACGCCGCGUGCGGGAUGACGGCCUUCGGGUUGUAAACCGCUUUCGCCUGUGACGAAGCGUGAGUGACGGUAAUGGGUAAAGAAGCACCGGCUAACUACGUG
rnacentral:rRNA from 1 species